AUAAAAGGUUGGUUACAUUAGUUCCCUUUUCCUGACAAUAUUAUAAAAACUUUGUCAUUGACUGGCAUAAAUAACCCAGGAAACAUGUUUACAAAGACAAAGCACAUUAUCAUGCCUAAGCACUUAUUUACAAGUCUUUAUACAUUUCCUUGAUUGAAUGAUUUAACUAAUUAAGUGUUUAUAUUUCUGCAGUGACUUUUUGUGCACCCCUGAGUCCAGCUCACUCAGCCACCUUGUGUUAUUUGUCCUACACUGAUCUUGCACUGUUUUGGAAACUGCUGUUUGUGAUGCCACUCCUGCUGCCUGAGUGAAUCAAUAAACCACUUUUAACCAGAAUUACAGACCAGUGUCAGGAGGCAGGAGAUCAGCAAUUAUGUCAAUUAUGGCAGGACAAAACAUUUUUUUUUGGCAAACUUAUAAUAAA